AUACAUCGGGGCAGCGCACUCCUCCUCCCAGCGCACCCCGAAGGAUCGGCGACAUCCUCCUCCUCCCGGUUGCCGAUCGAGACAGACAAUGCCCGCCGGACCUCCUCCCCCGGCGGGCAUUGUCG
rnacentral:sRNA from 1 species